rnacentral:rRNA from 1 species
UACGGGGGGAGCUAGCGUUGUUCGGAAUUACUGGGCGUAAAGCGCGCGUAGGCGGCUUUGUAAGUUAGAGGUGAAAGCCCGGGGCUCAACCCCGGAAUUGCCUUUAAGACUGCAUCGCUUGAAUCCGGGAGAGGUGAGUGGAAUUCCGAGUGUAGAGGUGAAAUUCGUAGAUAUUCGGAAGAACACCAGUGGCGAAGGCGGCUCACUGGACCGGCAUUGACGCUGAGGUGCGAAAGCGUGGGGAGCAAACAGG